rnacentral:rRNA from 1 species
CACGUAGGGCGCAAGCGUUGUCCGGAAUUAUUGGGCGUAAAGAGCUCGUAGGCGGUCUGUUACGUCUGCUGUGAAAACCCGGGGCUUAACCCUGGGCUUGCAGUGGAUACGGGCAGACUAGAGGCAGGUAGGGGAGAAUGGAAUUCCCGGUGUAGCGGUGAAAUGCGCAGAUUUCGGGAGGAACACCGGUGGCGAAGGCGGUUCUCUGGGCCUGACCUGACGCUGAGGAGCGAAAGCGUGGGGAGCGAACAGG